AUGCCCAUUUCCUUAGCAGUUUUCAUGUUAUUUUUAUGCUAGCGCGCCUGCUCCCGUGUGGGUAACUUUCCAGCACCCUUCCAAGGGGUCUGGCUAUGGGUAUAAAAGUUUUCAUACCCAAAGUCUUAGCCAAAACCGUAAUAGAACGUGUCCUAUUUUUCUGCUACGAAAUCUGUUGUUGAAUUACCCAUGAUCCUCCUCAACCAAUCAUAGCUGCGUAUAUUGGUCACGUGUCCUUCCGGGUUUUCAAAAUAAAGUAACUAUCAACAUGGCGGCCAAGUGGUGUGUGGAACAUGUGGAAUGUUUGAUUGAAAAUUAUGAGAAAUACCCUUGUCUCUACAACGUGAAAAGCCCCAUAUAUCAUAAUAAACACGCAAGAAAUGAAGCGCUGGCAGCUAUAGCAAGUGCUGUGUCAGAGUUGAGGCCUGGGACUUCUGUCGACGAAGUGAAGAAUAAGUUUGCAAAACUGCGAUCUCACUUCGUCGCUGAAUUCAGCAAGAAGAAAACCUCAGAGAAGAGUGGGACCGGUACUGAUGAGAUUUAUGAACCAAAUUUUUGGUAUUAUAAGAAACUCUUUUUUCUUAUAAACCACAUUGUUCCGAGGAAGGGUGUGGAAACAAAGUUAAAAGUUGCACCUGCAUCGAGGGUGUGGGAGCCUUUAGUGGUUUAUGAUGAAGAUCAGUCGCUUUCAGAAGCACCCAAUGAAAGCCAGGAUUCAACGACAUCAAACCAGGCUAUUUCACUGUCAUGUCAGUCUCGGGCACAUAUAGCCGAGGGACAGCCCGGGCCCUCUGCAGAGCUGUGCAAGACCAUGGAACAGCCCCCCGUCACAGGACAUACAGGGACUUCAGCCUCAUUAGACAGUGUUGCGUGUACACCAAAAUCGCAUAAAAAACAAAAAAUUUCUACACCUUCUGAGGAUGGGUACACGGCAGUCCUCAACAGUGUUGUCGACGAACUCAAAAAGGAACCACCACGCCUCACGGUAAAUGAGCGCUUUGGCCAGUGGUUAGGUUGUGCGUUAGACAGCAUAAAAGAUCGGGGUGUCUGCAUGGCAGCCAAACAUGACAUAAUGAGAAUAAUUAUGGGAGCUGAAUUGGAUGACUCCCAUACAUCUAAUUUGCUCAAAUGAUGUUACAUCAAGCUUAUGUGUUUUUCUUUGUAUUUGCGUACCUUUUUUCUGUAAAUUUGUAAAUUGUAAAAUAAAAAUGUUACUUAUUAACUUGUAAAAUAAAAAUUAUACUUUUUUCUUAUAGUAGUUACGAAUUUUAAGAGACAGGUUUCAAAUUUUUAGUUCCUGCAUGCGUAUGUGUGCAAGAUUGUAUGUAAAUAGUGUUAUUCAUACUAAAUACAAAAAAAAAAUUAUAUUUCAUUUGGGUAAUUUACCUACUUAACUGAAUAAUAAUCAUUACUGGGCAUAAAUUGAGGUGAUCAUUCAUAUAAAAAAGCAAUGGUUUUAUUUUGUAACAUAAAAAGCCAAAUACUUAAUAUAUGUAGGUUUUUGUUUAUGUUUUAGAUACUAUCAAUCAUAUUCACACCACUACAUAUUUGUGCUCGUAGAAAAUUUUCUGUUUGGAGAACAUUAAACUAUCUCUGUUUAUAUAAUGAAAGUAUUUUCUGUUUUGGUAUUGAAUUUUCCAGCCCAUUGUUUGGCUUUUAUAUUUCCCUCAAUAUAUGAUCCAAGAAUACAACCACUGGGGUCAAAUUGUUUAAUGUAUUAAAUUAUUUAUAUUUAUCCUUCUGCAAUCAAUAAUCCUGUUAAACAGCUAACAAAAUAAUAAGUAUGGAUACUACAAUUAUUUAUAUUUUCAAAUAAGUGUUAAAAUAUUAUAUGCUCUCAGUUACAAAACAUAUUGUUAUUAACAAAAUAAAAGCUGGAUACUUAAUCCUGCAACAUUUAAUGCCUGGCAGAUAAAUUUAAUAUAUAAAAAUCAACGCUUGUUUGUUAGUGUUUUAUGUGCUACCAUCUCUUUAAUCCGAUUGCAAUAAACAUGUGUCAACAGAAUGCUUGCAUUUGUUGAAGGUUAUAGGGACAGUACAAAUAUUACAUAUCAUAGGAUUUCAUAUAAUGUAUUCAUUAUUGACAAGAAAAUAAAUAUUUUAUCAUUCCUAGUUAAA